GGAGAGGUGGCCGAGUGGCUUAAGGCACAGGUUUGCUAAACCUGCGUAGGGUCACACCUACCGAGGGUUCGAAUCCCUCCCUCUCCGCCA
rnacentral:tRNA from 1 species